rnacentral:rRNA from 1 species
AUUGAACGCUGGCGGCAUGCUUUACACAUGCAAGUCGGACGGCAGCACAGAGAAGCUUGCUUCUUGGGUGGCGAGUGGCGAACGGGUGAGUAAUAUAUCGGAACGUACCGAGUAAUGGGGGAUAACUAAUCGAAAGAUUAGCUAAUACCGCAUAUUCUCUGAGGAGGAAAGCAGGGGACCUUCGGGCCUUGCGUUAUUCGAGCGGCCGAUAUCUGAUUAGCUAGUUGGUGGGGUAAAGGCCUACCAAGGCGACGAUCAGUAGCGGGUCUGAGAGGAUGAUCCGCCACACUGGGACUGAGACACGGCCCAGACUCCUACGGGAGGCAGCAGUGGGGAAUUUUGGACAAUGGGCGCAAGCCUGAUCCAGCCAUGCCGCGUGUCUGAAGAGGGCCUUCGGGUUGUAAGGGACUUUUGUCAGGGAAGAAAAGGCUGUUGCUAAUACCGACAGCUGAUGACGGUACCUGAAGAAUAAGCACCGGCUAACUACGUG